UACGAAGGGGGCUAGCGUUGCUCGGAAUUACUGGGCGUAAAGGGCGCGUAGGCGGACAGUUUAGUCAGAGGUGAAAGCCCAGGGCUCAACCCCUGGAAUUGCCUUUGAUACUGGCUGUCUUGAGUACGGGAGAGGUGUGUGGAACUCCGAGUGUAGAGGUGAAAUUCGUAGAUAUUCGGAAGAACACCAGUGGCGAAGGCGACACACUGGCCCGUUACUGACGCUGAGGCGCGAAAGCCAGGGGAGCGAACGGG
rnacentral:rRNA from 1 species